rnacentral:rRNA from 1 species
CACGUAGGGCGCGAGCGUUGUCCGGAAUUAUUGGGCGUAAAGAGCUCGUAGGCGGUUUGUCGCGUCUGCUGUGAAAACUGGAGGCUCAACCUCCAGCCUGCAGUGGGUACGGGCAAACUAGAGUGCGGUAGGGGAGAUUGGAAUUCCUGGUGUAGCGGUGGAAUGCGCAGAUAUCAGGAGGAACACCGAUGGCGAAGGCAGAUCUCUGGGCCGUAACUGACGCUGAGGAGCGAAAGCAUGGGGAGCGAACAGG